GAUGAACGCUAGCGGCAGGCCUAAUACAUGCAAGUCGGACGGGAUCCAUUGAUAGCUUGCUAUCAAUGGUGAGAGUGGCGCACGGGUGCGUAACGCGUGAGCAACCUGCCUCCAUCAGGGGGAUAGCCUCUCGAAAGAGAGAUUAACACCGCAUAAUAUCAACAGUUCGCAUGUUCAGUUGAUUAAAUAUUUAUAGGAUGGAGAUGGGCUCGCGUGACAUUAGCUAGUUGGUAGGGUAACGGCUUACCAAGGCGACGAUGUCUAGGGGCUCUGAGAGGAGAAUCCCCCACACUGGUACUGAGACACGGACCAGACUCAUACGGGAGGCAGCAGUAAGGAAUAUUGGUCAAUGGGCGGAAGCCUGAACCAGCCAUGCCGCGUGCAGGAUGACUGCCCUAUGGGUUGUAAACUGCUUUUGUCCAGGAAUAAACCUAAAUACGAGUAUUUAGCUGAAUGUACUGGAAGAAUAAGGAUCGGCUAACUCCGUG
rnacentral:rRNA from 1 species